rnacentral:rRNA from 1 species
UACGUAGGCAGCAAGCGUUGUUCGGAAUUACUGGGCGUAAAGAGUGUGUAGGCGGUGCUCUAAGUUUGGUGUGAAAUCUCCCGGCUCAACUGGGAGGGUGCGCCGAAAACUGGAAUGCUUGAACAUGGGAGAGGAAAGCGGAAUUCCUGGUGUAGCGGUGAAAUGCGUAGAUAUCAGGAGGAACACCUGCGGUGUAGACGGCUUUCUGGACCAUAACUGACGCUGAGGCACGAAAGCGUGGGUAGCAAACAGG